rnacentral:rRNA from 1 species
AGUGAACGCUGGCGGUAGGCCUAACACAUGCAAGUCGAACGGCAGCACAGUAAGAGCUUGCUCUUACGGGUGGCGAGUGGCGGACGGGUGAGGAAUACAUCGGAAUCUACUUUUUCGUGGGGGAUAACGUAGGGAAACUUACGCUAAUACCGCAUACGACCUACGGGUGAAAGCAGGGGAUCUUCGGACCUUGCGCGAUUGAAUGAGCCGAUGUCGGAUUAGCUAGUUGGCGGGGUAAAGGCCCACCAAGGCGACGAUCCGUAGCUGGUCUGAGAGGAUGAUCAGCCACACUGGAACGGAGACACGGUCCAGACUCCUACGGGAGGCAGCAGUGGGGAAUAUUGGACAAUGGGCGCAAGCCUGAUCCAGCCAUCCCGCGUGGGUGAAGAAGGCCUUCGGGUUGUAAAGCCCUUUUGUUGGGAAAGAAAAGCAGCAGGUUAAUACCCCGCUGUUCUGACGGUACCCAAAGAAUAAGCACCGGCUAACUUCGUG